rnacentral:lncRNA from 1 species
AACUGCAUUAAUACUGUGUGAACUGUAAAAAAUACGUUGAAUGUCUCACUAAGAAUGACAUAUCUAUUGAUAUAUAAAACCAUUUUUUCCACCUUUUGGUCAUAUUUUGCCUUUGAUGGAAUGGUUUAUGCGCAAGUACAAUAACAUGCACCUUUAUGCCGGAGACAACUAAAUAGGUAUUAAAAGUGUAUAACCACAAUUUGAGAGCAUACAAUGUAUGUUACAAGCCAAAGAUGCUUAAAAGAUCAUACACAAACCGGCUAAGGCCGAUUUUGCAUUGUUAGGAAUUUGUAACCGUCAGCUGUGUGUUAUGAGAUACAUAUAAUAAAACAUAUCUAGACCGACAAGAAAUAAACCAGAGACGAGCAACACCAUAUGUAACGAACAAACAUAUAAAUCAUCCUACUGUUAGUACGAUGCUAAAUCACCUGGAAUGGAGAUCUAUGGAACAAAGGCGAAAACAUGCAAGACCCUCCAUACUCUUCAAAAUUGUUAAAGGGAAAGUUGCAGUGACAAGGGAUGAUCAUUUGACUGCCAAGAAACAUGCAUGACAGAAUCUUCAACAUUCCAACAUCAUGAAGUGAUUACCGGAAAUAUUCUUUCUUUCAACGAAGAAUCUCCCUCCUGGGGUUGCAUCAGCACCGUCAGUCGAGGCUUUCAAAGCGUCGAUGACAAAGCUGCACUAAAUUUAAACAUUAUAGGAGGAGUAUGCGCACCUAAGUCAUGGCAAAAUGUUCAGUCUAAUAAUUGUGGUUGUUAUCCGGUAUAAAUAAAAGUAGAAGUAGAAGAAAUGUAAUAACUUAUGAACAGGAAAUCUCACACAAAAUCUAUAAGGGCGCAGGACAUUUGUAGAAAAAAUUCUAAACUAACAAUAAAAAUGUCAGGACCGAUAUCAUAGACCAAGUAAGAACUAGAUGUAUUUCAUUUACAUAUACCGCUACACUGGUUAAAAAACUAGUGAUACCUCAGGAAUCGACAGUUCAAAUUCAGUACAUAAACAAUAGUAGGAAGCAGCAACGUGUAAUACAGACUUCCAUUAACCUGACCCAUACAACCGUUCCGUGAUUUUCAAACCCGCUGGGAUAAUAAUUUUGCACAAAAUAUAAAAUACAAGAAUAUAACGAUUGAUUGUCGCUUGCUUAAUUGAUUGACCUAAACAAACCUGUUCCUUGUUGUGCCUUCCUAAAGCGUUAUUUAUACUGACACGGAACGUCAUCAUCAUCAUCAUCAACAUCAUCAACACUCACGUCAUCAUCACAUAAUUAUAAGACUUUUCAAACUUUCUUU